rnacentral:rRNA from 1 species
AUUCUUCGGAACCUGUCGCUGGAAGAGGGGCCCGCGUACCAUCAGCUUGUUGGUGAGGUAAUGGCUCACCAAGGCUUACGGUUAGCUGGUCUGAGAGGAUGGUCAGCCACACUGGGACUGAGACACUGCCCAGACUCCUACGGGAGGCUGCAGUCGAGGAUCAUUCGCAAUGCGCGAAAGCGUGACGAUGCGACGCUGCGUGUAGGAUGACGGCCCUAGGGUUGUAAACUACUGUCAUGUGGGAAAAAUGGUCCCGAGGAAUAACACCUUCGGGACGUGAUGGUACCACAAGAGGAAGCCACGGCUAACUCUGUGCCAGCAGCCGCGGUAAUACAGAGGUGGCGAGCGUUGUUCGGAUUUACUGGGCGUAAAGAGUACGUAGGCGGUUUGGUAUGUCGGAUGUGAAAGCCAUGGCUCAACUGUGGAACUGCAUCCGAAACUACCAUGACUAGAGUGCAGGAGGGGAGGGUGGAAUUCUUGGUGUAGCGGUGAAAUGCGUUGAUAUCAAGAGGAACACCGGUGGCGAAGGCGACUCUCUGGAAUGUAACUGACGCUGAGGUACGAAAGCGUGGGGAGCAAACAGGAUUAGAUACCCUGGUAGUCCACGCCGUAAACGUUGCGGACUUGGUGUUGGAGGUAUUGACCCCUUCAGUGCCGGAGCUAACGCGUUAAGUCCGCCGCCUGGGGAGUACGGCCGCAAGGCUAAAACUCAAAGAAAUUGACGGGGGCCCGCACAAGCGGAGGAGCAUGUGGCUUAAUUCGAUGCAACGCGAAGAACCUUACCAGGGCUUGACAUCUAGCUGCACGCCUCCCGAAAGGGAGGAAGCCUUCGAGGGUGCUAGACAGGUGCUGCAUGGCUGUCGUCAGUUCGUGCCGUGAGGUGUUGGGUUAAGUCCCGCAACGAACGCAACCCUUGUGUCUAGUUGCCACCGGUGACGUUAAGUUGCCGAGCACUCUAGACAGACUGCCUGUACAAGCAGGAGGAAGGUGGGGACGACGUCAAAUCAGUAUGGCCCUUACGCCCUGGGCUGCACACGUGCUACAAUGGCUGGUACAAUGGGCUGCAAUACCGCGAGGUGGAGCUAAUCCCCAAAACCAGCCCCAGUUCGGAUUGGAGUCUGAAACUCGACUCCAUGAAGGUGGAUCCGCUAGUAAUGCCGCAUCAGCUACGGCGGCGUGAAUACGUUCCCGGGCCUUGUAC